rnacentral:rRNA from 1 species
AUUGAACGCUGGCGGCAGGCCUAACACAUGCAAGUCGAGCGGAUGAAGGGAGCUUGCUCCUGGAUUCAGCGGCGGACGGGUGAGUAAUGCCUAGGAAUCUGCCUGGUAGUGGGGGAUAACGUCCGGAAACGGGCGCUAAUACCGCAUACGUCCUGAGGGAGAAAGUGGGGGAUCUUCGGACCUCACGCUAUCAGAUGAGCCUAGGUCGGAUUAGCUAGUUGGUGGGGUAAAGGCCUACCAAGGCGACGAUCCGUAACUGGUCUGAGAGGAUGAUCAGUCACACUGGAACUGAGACACGGUCCAGACUCCUACGGGAGGCAGCAGUGGGGAAUAUUGGACAAUGGGCGAAAGCCUGAUCCAGCCAUGCCCCGUGUGUGAAGAAGGUCUUCGGAUUGUAAAGCACUUUAAGUUGGGAGGAAGGGCAGUAAGUUAAUACCUUGCUGUUUUGACGUUACCAACAGAAUAAGCACCGGCUAACUUCGUG